UGUAAGCGUAUACCAAAGUUGCUGCAGUUAAAACGCUCGUAGUCGGACUUUGGCAGUUCCGGAUGUGUGCACGUCGUGUGCGCACUUCGCGGGGAUUGCUUUUGUGGUCUUGCGUAGGAUGAGGCACUUUUAUUAGUGAACGUCCUCACGCAACCACUUUUUACUGUGAGAAAAUCAGAGUGCUCAAAGCAGGCAUUUGCCGUGAAUGUAUUAGCAUGGAAUAAUAGAAUAGGACUUGGUUCUAUUUUGUUGGUUUGUUGGGACUGAGUAAUGAUUAAGAGGGACAGUUGGGGGCAUUUGUAUUUCGGUGCUAGAGGUGAAAUUCUUAGAUUACCGAAAGACAAACUGCUGCGAAAGCGUCUGCCAAGGAUGUUUUCAUUGA
rnacentral:rRNA from 1 species